UACGGAGGAUGCGAGCGUUAUCCGGAUUUAUUGGGUUUAAAGGGUGCGUAGGCGGAUUUUUAAGUCAGCGGUAAAAUGUCCGGGCUCAACCCGGGCCGGCCGUUGAAACUGGGGAUCUUGAGUGGGCGAGAGGUAUGCGGAAUGCGUGGUGUAGCGGUGAAAUGCAUAGAUAUCACGCAGAACUCCGAUUGCGAAGGCAGCAUACCGGCGCCCGACUGACGCUGAGGCACGAAAGCGUGGGGAUCGAACAGG
rnacentral:rRNA from 1 species